CCUGAACCCCUUUUGACCUUUUCGGUCAUUUUGAAGGCAGAACUUCUGUUUUCGUAUAAACAUGGUGUUAAGGAUAAAGACAAGUGAGUCUUUGUGUAACCAACCUCUUUGUGUCUGCUGAGGAAGCGCGAUCAUGAGGCUCAUGGGAGCGAGGUGAACCUCAGGAGUCUGUCACAUUGCUGAAGUGGAUAAAGCGUCAUCACGCUGUGUUGUUUUGCGUUUGUUGCUGGAACAUUGUUGCCAUUACCAUCGUUAUUCUUCUAGGAAGAAAAGUUGAUCCCCAACAGGAAUUGCUUGUGUGUUUGUGUGGGGAACAUUUGGUGGAAACAAAAACAACCAGCAUACAGUGUGUAAAGAUCAUAGAGAGCCAAAGUGAAAGCCGGAACUUCCAGGUGCUAUUCUACAGACUGAUGGAUUACACUGAGUUACAGAAGCUAGCGGAACAGACGUGGCACCAUGGCUCUCUGUCAUGCACCUACACUAAAUGCUGAUCUAAGUUUAUUUGAUGUGAU